rnacentral:ncRNA from 1 species
GAUGGUGAACUAUGCUUAGGCAGGGCAAAGCCAGGGGGAACUCUUUUAGAAGUCCAUAUUGGUUGUGACAUGCAAGUCAGUCAUCUGACCUAGCUAUACAGGUUAAGCAAGCUACCU